GUUCCUGUAGCGCAAUGGAUAGCGCGCGCGUUGGACUUCUAAUCCAAAGGUCGUGAGUUUGAAUCCCACAUGGAAUG